rnacentral:rRNA from 1 species
UACGUAGGGUUCAAGCGUUAAUCGGAAUUACUGGGCGUAAAGCGUGCGCAGGCGGUUCUGAAAGUCAGCUGUGAAAGCCCCGGGCUUAACCUGGGAAUUGCGGUUGAAACUACAGGGCUAGAAUCUGGCAGAGGGGGGUGGAAUUCCACGUGUAGCAGUGAAAUGCGUAGAGAUGUGGAGGAACACCGAUGGCGAAGGCAGCCCCCUGGGCUGAGAUUGACGCUCAGGCACGAAAGCGUGGGGAGCAAACAGG